rnacentral:tRNA from 1 species
UGCAUCGGCCGGAAUUCGAACCCGGGGCGCUCGCGUGGCAGGCGAGCAUUCUACCACAGAACCACCGAUGC